UGUUGACCCAGGAAACAUCGAGAAACAUCGGCUUCCCAAGCUGAAUACGCGGGUUCGAUUCCCGUCAUCGGCUCCA
rnacentral:tRNA from 2 species